GAAGGAACAGAGCAACAAUGCCGUCCUCGUGGUGCGGGAGCCUCCGCCUGUGGAUGAGCAGCAUGGCUUCAUCCCCAAUACAGCCUCUACUGUCAGAAGGAGAACAAUGCAACAAGUGAAGUGCACACAGUGUCAGAUGAGACACUGAACUACCGUUUGACUGAUCUAUCGGGAGUCUAUCAGAUCUAUAUGACAGCUCACACGGUGGCAGGAGAAGAACGAGCCAGUCCACAUCAGUGGGUUACUGUAGGAUAAAGCAGACUAUCUGGCCUCUGGUUCCUGACCCUGCACUCAGCAGUCUGACCUCCUGGAUCUCCAACUCUGAACGCGCAACAGAAAGCUUCUACUCUGAGGAAGUGGAUCACACUUCAACUUCAAAAAUAACAAAUGAACUGCAUAAUGAAGAACACUGUUGAAGCUCAUUGUUUUCCAUUUGGAAAUAUAUGUGCAUCCUCUAAAUAAUUCUAAAUGUAUGAGCAUGCAUAGCUAAAGAAAAGCACAUGGGGAUUCUUGGUGAACCUUUGUCCUUUUGUUUGUUUGUUUUACUUUAUGACCAAAAUAAUAAUAGUUUCAGUGUACAUUUUGUGUUUCUGUGCCAUCACAGACAAUUUGCCUACAGUUCAGGCAAUUUUGUAAUAAUAACAUUUCUCCAUUUUCUAUGUAGUCCCUUGUGUUUUAACUCCGAAUUUCACAUUUAAGGCAGCACUGAAAUGAAUAUGGCAUCCUUUAAAACAAGCUAAGAACACAUUACACUGUUAGUUUAGUUUAGACUUAUCAUUUGUACUGUUGUACAAGGUGAAUACAGGGAAAAGCUUCAUGGACAGUGAAUUCAAAUUUGACUUAGUCCAGAAAGGACCAUCUUUUGCUAAUAUGAUGGCGGUUCUUUGCUGGCCAUGACAACAGACAACUAUACAUUCUGAUAGGAAUAUUUUAUUUUUAUUUAAUGUUUUUUAAUUUUUUUUUUUUUUGCAAAAACAAGUAGUAACUAAGUAAGUAAGACAUCACAGAGACACUGAACAGGUGACAUGAACCAUGCCACAGAGAGCUGCAGGACACACCAAGGAAAAAAAAUCAUGCCUAAAGUCCCCCUCCACUCAAAAAUAGUUUGAUUCUUGUUCCUAAAGUUGGAUGUUUGGGCUUCACUGUGCAGAAUGAAGUAUGUAGUUUGACACUGGAAGUAUUAAGCUAUUUAGUGUUAAGUAUUUUGUAUGCAAAUUAUACAAGUGGUGUACAAUGGGCUUUACAGUAAGACAUCUUGUGUCCAGCAGGAACAUUUUCCAAAUCAACAAAAUUAGCACAUUCACAGAUUCUGGAAUUUUUAAUGAGGUAGAAUGAGUAGAUGUCUUUUUAAGGAUUUUAAUGUAGAAUUUUUUUUUAAAGGAAAAGCAGAUCAGACACACAUUAUUGUUUCAAGCAGACUAUUUUAUAUAUGUCUUAAUACAUGUAUGGAGGGGAUAUUUAAAGAUCAGUGCUAUCAGUGCAGAUUCUUGUCAUUUUCUUAUUACAUUUAAUAACAACUGUAGUCAAGACCUAUUCCCAUCCUUUCCACCCCAGCCUCAGCAGUUUCAAAUGUAUGCCAUUCUCCUCUUAUCUAUGAAAUUACCCAGGAGAUUAGUUUAUGCUCACUCAAACAAACUGAAUUUACGUAGAGCAUAUUCUCAACAUUAACUCAACAAGCCAUCUGCUUGUUGGUGUUAUUUUACUUCACAAAGCUAAACUAGGUUGCUAAAAUAACAAAUAUGAUAUUAAAAGGCAUUCCCUUAUGGAUUAGGACUAUAUUUGUUAAGUUCUUUCUUGCAAAAUGUCUGAAUAAAUCUGGGAAUCUCAACCCUG